rnacentral:rRNA from 1 species
AUUGAACGCUGGCGGCAGGCUUAACACAUGCAAGUCGGGCGGGGGAAGGUAGCUUGCUACCGGACCUAGCGGCGGACGGGUGAGUAAUGCUUAGGAAUCUGCCUAUUAGUGGGGGACAACAUCUCGAAAGGGAUGCUAAUACCGCAUACGUCCUACGGGAGAAAGCAGGGGAUCUUCGGACCUUGCGCUAAUAGAUGAGCCUAAGUCGGAUUAGCUAGUUGGUGGGGUAAAGGCCUACCAAGGCGACGAUCUGUAGCGGGUCUUAGAGGAUGAGCCGGCAAACUGGGACUGAGGCAAGGCCCAGACUCCUACGGGAGGGAGGAGUGGGGAAUAUUGGACAAUGGGGGGAACCCUGAUCCAGCCAUGCCGCGUGUGUGAAGAAGGCCUUAUGGUUGUAAAGCACUUUAAGCGAGGAGGAGGCUACUCUAGUUAAUACCUAGGGAUAGUGGACGUUACUCGCAGAAUAAGCACCGGCUAACUCUGUGCCAGCAGCCGCCGUAA